GGCCAGGCUCCCAUAGUACAGUUGGUAGAGCAUGAGACUCUUGAUCUUGGGGCCCUGGGUUUGAGCCCCGCAUUGGGCA